rnacentral:rRNA from 1 species
GUUAGCGGCGGACGGGUGAGUAACACGUGGGUAACCUGCCUGUAAGACUGGGAUAACUCCGGGAAACCGGAGCUAAUACCGGAUAGUUCCUUGAACCGCAUGGUUCAAGGAUGAAAGACGGNUUUCGGCUGUCACUUACAGAUGGACCCGCGGCGCAUUAGCUAGUUGGUGAGGUAACGGCUCACCAAGGCGACGAUGCGUAGCCGACCUGAGAGGGUGAUCGGCCACACUGGGACUGAGACACGGCCCAGACUCCUACGGGAGGCAGCAGUAGGGAAUCUUCCGCAAUGGACGAAAGUCUGACGGAGCAACGCCCGCGUGAGUGAUGAAGGUUUUUCGGAUCGUAAAAGCUCUGUUGUUAGGGAAAGAACAAGUGCAAAGAGUAACUGCUUGCACCUUUGACGGUACCCUAACCAGAAAGCCACGGCUAACUACGUGCCCAGCAAGCCCGCGGUUAAAUACGUAAGGUGGGCCAAGCCGGUUUGUUCCCGGAAAUUUA